rnacentral:rRNA from 1 species
UUUUCAUCAGACAAUCUGUGUGAGCACUGCAAAGUACGCUUCUUUAAGGUAAGGAGGUGAUCCAACCGCAGGUUCCCCUACGGUUACCUUGUUACGACUUCACCCCAGUCAUGAAUCACAAAGUGGUAAGCGCCCUCCCGAAGGUUAAGCUACCUACUUCUUUUGCAACCCACUCCCAUGGUGUGACGGGCGGUGUGUACAAGGCCCGGGAACGUAUUCACCGUGGCAUUCUGAUCCACGAUUACUAGCGAUUCCGACUUCAUGGAGUCGAGUUGCAGACUCCAAUCCGGACUACGACGCACUUUAUGAGGUCCGCUUGCUCUCGCGAGGUCGCUUCUCUUUGUAUGCGCCAUUGUAGCACGUGUGUAGCCCUGGUCGUAAGGGCCAUGAUGACUUGACGUCAUCCCCACCUUCCUCCAGUUUAUCACUGGCAGUCUCCUUUGAGUUCCCGGCCGGACCGCUGGCAACAAAGGAUAAGGGUUGCGCUCGUUGCGGGACUUAACCCAACAUUUCACAACACGAGCUGACGACAGCCAUGCAGCACCUGUCUCACGGUUCCCGAAGGCACAUUCUCAUCUCUGAAAACUUCCGUGGAUGUCAAGACCAGGUAAGGUUCUUCGCGUUGCAUCGAAUUAAACCACAUGCUCCACCGCUUGUGCGGGCCCCCGUCAAUUCAUUUGAGUUUUAACCUUGCGGCCGUACUCCCCAGGCGGUCUACUUAACGCGUUAGCUCCGGAAGCCACGCCUCAAGGGCACAACCUCCAAGUAGACAUCGUUUACGGCGUGGACUACCAGGGUAUCUAAUCCUGUUUGCUCCCCACGCUUUCGCACCUGAGCGUCAGUCUUUGUCCAGGGGGCCGCCUUCGCCACCGGUAUUCCUCCAGAUCUCUACGCAUUUCNNNNNNNNNNNNNNNNNNNNCCCCCCUCUACAAGACUCAAGCCUGCCAGUUUCGAAUGCAGUUCCCAGGUUGAGCCCGGGGAUUUCACAUCCGACUUGACAGACCGCCUGCGUGCGCUUUACGCCCAGUAAUUCCGAUUAACGCUUGCACCCUCCGUAUUACCGCGGCUGCUGGCACGGAGUUAGCCGGUGCUUCUUCUGCGGGUAACGUCAAUUGCUGCGGUUAUUAACCACAACACCUUCCUCCCCGCUGAAAGUACUUUACAACCCGAAGGCCUUCUUCAUACACGCGGCAUGGCUGCAUCAGGCUUGCGCCCAUUGUGCAAUAUUCCCCACUGCUGCCUCCCGUAGGAGUCUGGACCGUGUCUCAGUUCCAGUGUGGCUGGUCAUCCUCUCAGACCAGCUAGGGAUCGUCGCCUUGGUGAGCCGUUACCUCACCAACAAGCUAAUCCCAUCUGGGCACAUCUGAUGGCAAGAGGCCCGAAGGUCCCCCUCUUUGGUCUUGCGACGUUAUGCGGUAUUAGCCACCGUUUCCAGUAGUUAUCCCCCNNNNNNNNNNNNNNNNNNNNCCAUCAGGCAGUUUCCCAGACAUUACUCACCCGUCCGCCACUCGUCAGCAAAGCAGCAAGCUGCUUCCUGUUACCGUUCGACUUGCAUGUGUUAGGCCUGCCGCCAGCGUUCAAUCUGAGCCAUGAUCAAACUCUUCAAUUUAAAAGUUUGAUGCUCAAUGAAUUAAACUUCGUAAUGAAUUACGUGUUCACUCUUGAGACUUGGUAUUCAUUUUUCGUC